GCUAGUCGCGCGGGUUAGACCCGCGGCGUAUAGCUCAGUAACACGUGGCCAAACUACCCACCAGACGAGAACAACCUCGGGAAACUGAGGCUAACACUCGAUACGCGUUGCACGGUUGAGAACGGCGACGCUCAAACGCUCCGGCGCUGGUGGAUGUGGCUGCGGCCGAUUAGGUAGACGGUGGGGUAACGGCCCACCGUGCCGAUAAUCGGUACGGGUUGUGAGAGCAAGAGCCCGGAGACGGAAUCUGAGACAAGAUUCCGGGCCCUACGGGGCGCAGCAGGCGCGAAACCUUUACACUGCACGCCAGUGCGAUAAGGGAACCCCGAGUGAAAGGGCAUAUCGCCCUUUCUUUUCUGGACCGUAGGGAGGUCCAGGAACAAGAGCUGGGCAAGACCGGUGCCAGCCGCCGCGGUAAUACCGGCAGCUCGAGUGAUGACCGAUUUUAUUGGGCCUAAAGCGUCCGUAGCUGGCCGCGCAAGUCCGUCGGGAAAUCCACCUGCUUAACAGGUGGGCGUCCGGCGGAAACUGCACGGCUUGGGACAGGAAGGCUCGAGGGGUACGUUCGGGGUAGGAGUGAAAUCCCGUAAUCCUGAACGGACCGCCGAUGGCGAAAAGCACCUCGAGAGGACUGAUCCGACAGUGAGGGACGAAAGCUGGGGUCUCGAACCGGAUUAGAUACCCGGGUUGUCCCAGCCGUAACGAUGUUCGCUAGGUGUGUCACUGGCUACGAGCCAGUGCUGUGCCGUA
rnacentral:rRNA from 1 species